GUGGGGAAUAUUGGGCAAUGGGGGAAACCCUGACCCAGCAACGCCGCGUGAAGGAAGAAGGUUUUCGGAUCGUAAACUUCUAUCCUUGGUGAAGAUAAUGACGGUAGCCAAGAAGGAAGCCCCGGCUAACUACGUGCCAGCAGCCGCGGUAAUACGUAGGGGGCAAGCGUUGUCCGGAAUGAUUGGGCGUAAAGGGCGCGUAGGCGGCCUGGUAAGUCUGGAGUGAAAGUCCUGCUUUUAAGGUGGGAAUUGCUUUGGAUACUGUCGGGCUUGAGUGCAGGAGAGGUAAGCGGAAUUCCCGGUGUAGCGGUGAAAUGCGUAGAGAUCGGGAGGAACACCAGUGGCGAAGGCGGCUUACUGGACUGUAACUGACGCUGAGGCGCGAAAGUGUGGGGAGCAAACAGGAUUAGAUACCCCGGUAGUCC
rnacentral:rRNA from 1 species